UCAAACGAAACUCAAUUCAUGUAACCCAAUUCAUUUUUUCUUUUCUCAUAAAUCUCCAAUACGUAUUGUGCGCUAGUAGAAAUUGCACUCACAAAAUUUCCUUUUCUUCAAAUAUGUAGAGAUUGCUGCUUCAAAUCGAUAAUAUCAUUGACUUUUUGGUCUUGAGGAAAAAAUUCAGCUAGCAGUUAGUCAAAGUACUGUGGAUGAGUCUGAAAUUUCUCCCAAUGAUGCUAUGGGUAAGGUGCUAGGAAAAGAGCAUUCUGGGAGGGUAAGAUGUUUGGGAUUAGGAGAUACUCCAAGCACUCAUUUUAAACAAACAAAACCUCAUGUUGGUGGUAUUAGAAUUCCAAGUAACGAUGCUGGAUGUUCUUCUUUCGGAUGCCAAGACAAGUACGAUAAAUUGUUGAAUACUCUCAAAGCCUACAUGAUAAUGAAGGAAGGGUCAAUACCGGAACAAUUUGCUGGGAUCUUUGGUUCUCCUCCUAUAAUGCCGAGUGAUGCAGCUAGCAGCUAGCGGACCCAUGGAUGCAAGAAGAUUUCUAGCUCUAGUAAUCCUGCAAAGGCACUUGAUCAUCCUGUUGAAUAGUCCUUCGAUCAAACAAUCUACCGGGAGCAGAAUAGUUUAGCGGAUAGGAUGGCUCAAAUAGGAAUGUCAACAGCUGGUACUAAUAGGUUUUCACUGCAUGUUUUUGCGGAACCACCAACAAAUGCAGUGGACAUACUUACUGCUGAUAAACUAGGAACUACAUUCCUGCGAAAAGAUAGUCCCUGGGAUAUUAACUUCUUUUUUUCAACUACAACACCUGUCUACUUUGCUAAUGUAAAUAGUGCUAUUGUUACUACUUAAGUUGUAACUUCUGCUACUAGUCUUUUGCAAUGUAACAUGACUGCUGGGUUAAACUCCCAACUAUGUAAUCCUUAGUUGUGUUUAAUAUGAUUAGUAUUUUGGUGUUGACCCAUACUA